AGUAGCCCUGGUUAGAAGCUAACAGUAGGCUUGUAAGCCUGGAGCUGCCUGUGGCUGCAACCCGGAGCAAGGCGCCCUUCCGGCUGGGGUCGUUCAUUACCAGCACGCCCUCUGCAGCCCUGCGUCCAUGUCAUUGAAACAAAUACCUAUUGAUCAUCUGCUUCCCAAACACCGUGGUGGAUCCUGAGAACCCAGGAAUAAGACACAGCCCUGGUGUGCCAGCCUCAAGGGGUAAGGCCAUCUGUGGCUCAGAGGAGGAGACUAAUGUACCCAAGAUCGCAUAUCUAUAAAAGGCAGGGCCAGGAUCUGGCUCCUGGCUCCUUGCCUCUAAAGGCUUGGCACAGAGGAAAGACGAACACAAGAAGAAAAUCCCAGCAUCUUUGAAAGCCUCCCGAGGAGGCCUGGCCAAUGACAUAACACCUUCAGCAAUGAAAAACCUCUCAGGAAAAAAAAUAAAAGAAAAGAAGAAAAAAAUAAAAAGCCUCUCAGGACAGACAUUCAGAAGCGAGCCCGGGAAAGCGAGCCCGGGACUGUGGGAUCAGGACGGUGGGGUUUCAUUGCUGGCAUCCACAUGGCAAGUUGCUAACACUUGAGGGAGGGGAGGUGAUGGGGGAGAGAAGGGAAAAACUUUCCUUGUCCACCAAGGCUUUCUCCUUCAAAGCUGCCUUCUCCAGAGACCAGCCUUUUCUGGCCCAGUCCCUUCCUCCUCAAGAAAACCGCAGCAACACCAGUUCAGCAAAUGCUCACAUCACUGAAAGUCAGUCAGUCCCACUCGAGGACCCGGGUAAUGGAACUACCCAGGCCCGACCCAGGGGACUCAUUCGUUCCUCCCCUGCAUCUUGGUUAGGUUGUGCUAACUCAUUCGUUCAUUUACCAAACAGGGCUGAGCACCUAUUGUGUCCAGCUUGGGGUCAAACCUUUGAGAUUCAGGAAAGGAGGCCUUCAAAAAGGCUACCAAUCCUUGUAACAGCAACACCAGCAGCCAAAACGUGUACUGCUUUGGGAGUAUCUGAGUUUUUGAGACAAACCGCUGUGACUUUCUUAAUCCGUUUCAAAGGGACCAGCCGGGUUGGCGAAACGAUACUGCUGGUUUGCAUGACUUAGGUCUUCUGAGAGAGAGAGAGAAGAAAAAAAAAAAAAAAGUUUAAAUGUGUAAACCAAAGUGAGUUUUUUUAAACAACGAAUCUGUUGCUUCAGCCGUCCGAGACGUUAGAAUAUACUUUCUGAAAUUAGAAAAUCAGGAAAGUGAGGUUGGGUAUGACAUACAAAAGAGAAAAGUCUAGAAGACGCGACUUGGAGGUGUCCAGGUAACAGGGUAAGCAAAUUAAGGGUGAUAGGAAGUGGAAAGUUAUUGGGACAUGUCACCAGUCAGGCAGUCUGGCAGAGAACGUUAAAAGUCUCCUUUCCUGCCUAGGAUCACACAGGUAACAAACAUUCACGCACACUCCGGCCUGGUGCCGUGCCACAGGAAGGACGUAUCUGAUGUCUGUUUUAUUUUAUUUGCCGUUUGCCCUGUUCCACAAAGGAUUUAAGGCAGUUUACAAAAGAGACACAAGCUAUAAGCUUCAUACACACUAAAAACAAGAGCAGGAGAAAAAAAAACAAAGAAUGGAGACGUAACAAGGAGCCAGGAGUGAGGUGAGGAAAAAUACAAAGUUUACCGAGCCGGUUGACAGACUUCCUUCCAAAGGGCCACAAGUCGGGCACCAGGAGUAAACAGAAAAGGGAAACGGAUGAAUGUUGAGAUAAAAGCAGGUCAGCUGCUUAGGAAACCACUAUUUUUGGAACCAAGGAAAGAGGGGCAUUUCUCCUAAGCGCCUUUCCUCACCCUCUGGUUAGUUACUAAGCCACAACCUUAAUGGCAUCCUGUGUCUGACCCACCCCUCCGGCAGUUCAGAAUUUAGAACUGUGGCUCUUGCUUGAGAUUUCCGUUCACUUUUUCUUGGCGUGUCGUGUGCUCCUUGAACACCCCACACCUGGGAACAUAUUUAUUCAAUGUAGACCUACUUUGGUCCGGACGAUGGAACCUUCCAGAAUCUGUCCUACACAUUAGUGCAACAGUGUAGAAAAUAUCACCAGUGGCCCAAUUUUUCAGCGCCCACAUUGUAACGAAGGUGCUGACAAUGUGCGUACUAAUCCAAAAAAUCAGUACGAAGCAAGGCUACUCGACAGGUCUGGAGGAUCUGGACACCAUACCCAGGCAAGCCCCCCAAGCUUCAGCCUGUUUGAGGAGGGGACAGGACUCGGCGGCAUAUAGGCA